rnacentral:rRNA from 1 species
UUUGAGACCGGCGCACGGGUGCGUAACGCGUAUGCAAUCUACCUUUUACAGAGGGAUAGCCCAGAGAAAUUUGGAUUAAUACCUCAUAGUAUAGUGAGUUGGCAUCAACACACUAUUAAAGUCACAACGGUAAAAGAUGAGCAUGCGUCCCAUUAGCUAGUUGGUAAGGUAACGGCUUACCAAGGCAACGAUGGGUAGGGGUCCUGAGAGGGAGAUCCCCCACACUGGUACUGAGACACGGACCAGACUCCUACGGGAGGCAGCAGUGAGGAAUAUUGGUCAAUGGGCGCAAGCCUGAACCAGCCAUGCCGCGUGCAGGAUGACGGUCCUAUGGAUUGUAAACUGCUUUUGCACAGGAAGAAACACUCGGUCGUGACCGAGCUUGACGGUACUGUGAGAAUAAGGAUCGGCUAACUCCGUGCCAGCAGCCGCGGUAAUACGGAGGAUCCAAGCGUUAUCCGGAAUCAUUGGGUUUAAAGGGUCCGUAGGCGGCCAGAUAAGUCAGUGGUGAAAGCCCAUCGCUCAACGAUGGAACGGCCAUUGAUACUGUUUGGCUUGAAUUAUUUGGAAGUAACUAGAAUAUGUAGUGUAGCGGUGAAAUGCUUAGAGAUUACAUGGAAUACCAAUUGCGAAGGCAGGUUACUACAAAUUGAUUGACGCUGAUGGACGAAAGCGUGGGUAGCGAACAGGAUUAGAUACCCUGGUAGUCCACGCCGUAAACGAUGGAUACUAGCUGUUGGGAGCAAUCUCAGUGGCUAAGCGAAAGUGAUAAGUAUCCCACCUGGGGAGUACGUUCGCAAGAAUGAAACUCAAAGGAAUUGACGGGGGCCCGCACAAGCGGUGGAGCAUGUGGUUUAAUUCGAUGAUACGCGAGGAACCUUACCAAGGCUUAAAUGUAGAUUGACCGGUUUGGAAACAGACUUUUCGCAAGACAAUUUACAAGGUGCUGCAUGGUUGUCGUCAGCUCGUGCCGUGAGGUGUCAGGUUAAGUCCUAUAACGAGCGCAACCCCUGUUGUUAGUUGCCAGCGAGUCAUGUCGGGAACUCUAGCAAGACUGCCAGUGUAAACUGUGAGGAAGGUGGGGAUGACGUCAAAUCAUCACGGCCCUUACGCCUUGGGCUACACACGUGCUACAAUGGCCGGUACAGAGAGCAGCCACUACGCAAGUAGGAGCGAAUCUAUAAAACCGGUCUCAGUUCGGAUC